AGGUAACAUCUCACCAACGCUGAAGCUAACAGGGUCCUCUUUAGUUAAAGUCUGGGAUUUUUUAGCAUUUUGGUUCAGUUUAUGAACAAAGCACCCCUUUGCUUUUAGCAACAGGGAAGCCAAUCCGAUUGAAUGCCUCCUUUUUUUUUUUUUUUUUUUUUUUUUUUUUUGUUUUGUUAUUUUGUUAUCCCGUUGUGCGCUCGCCGCGCCCGUGCAGCCGCUGUGUGUUAUAGGAAGGACUGGUUUGAAGGCAGAAACAAAGCACCGUUUCCACGGGGAGCCAGGACCCCCCGGGGGGGCUGGAUGAACCUUCUCCCGGCUGGGAGCGGGACUGAGGAGCGGAGCGGCUGCAACGGCCCCCCCCCCUGCUGCCGGUGCGGGUCCGCCAUCCUGCACUGGGACAGAAACCAUCAGCCUCGCACAGCCGGACUGGGAGCAGCUCCAUGGGAUGGGAUCUGGGAGCCCUGCGAGCUCGCCUCAGUCCCUUGGACCCUGCUGCUGGGAAAAGCACCGUGCAGCCAGCUCAGCGGUACUGCCGAGCUGCUCCAAGCCGGCUGGCUGCGUUCAACGGUCAGUUUUGAAGGUUUUGUCUUUGUGUUCCCAUUAGCCACAUCAGUGCAUUUUGAACUGCCGGAAUUUUUGCAGCACAUCAUUCCCACCUUCCCAGGAGUGCUUCUAAUUGCCAUGAAGGACUUCAGCCAGUACCGCAUAUUAAUCCUCACCCUCAGGAUUUCAGACACUUCUAACAGA
rnacentral:lncRNA from 1 species